rnacentral:rRNA from 1 species
CCUACGGGGGGCAGCAGUAGGGAAUCUUCCACAAUGGACGAAAGUCUGAUGGAGCAACGCCGCGUGAGUGAAGAAGGGUUUCGGCUCGUAAAGCUCUGUUGGUAGUGAAGAAAGAUAGAGGUAGUAACUGGCCUUUAUUUGACGGUAAUUACUUAGAAAGUCACGGCUAACCACGUGCCAGCAGCCGCGGUAAUACGUAGGUGGCAAGCGUUGUCCGGAUUUAUUGGGCGUAAAGCGAGUGCAGGCGGUUCAAUAAAGCUUGUGUGGAAACCUUUGGCGCAACCGGAGAA